GCAUCUAUGGCUGAAUAGUUAAAACGCCCAACUCAUAAUUGGAGAAUUCAUAGGUUUAAUUCCUAUUGGAUGCA
rfam:Gossypium raimondii chromosome 4, whole genome shotgun sequence.